rnacentral:rRNA from 1 species
UACGUAGGGCGCAAGCGUUGUCCGGAAUUAUUGGGCGUAAAGAGCUCGUAGGCGGCCUGUUACGUCUGCUGUGAAAUCCCGGGGCUUAACCCCGGGCGUGCAGUGGAUACGGGCAGGCUGGAGGCAGGCAGGGGAGAACGGAAUUCCCGGUGUAGCGGUGAAAUGCGCAGAUAUCAGGAGGAACACCGAUGGCGAAGGCAGGUCUCUGGGCCACUACUGACGCUAAGAAGCGAAAGCAUGGGGAGCGAACAGG